CUUAGAACAUUGAAAGGCUAGAAUUAGUAAACAACAACUUUGUUUGAGUCCAACAUGUGCACAGGGGCAAGAGGGGUGUUUUAUUUACAAACAUAUGUGUCGAUUCUCUGUUGUCAAGUCGACACAAAUUUCCAACGGAGGAAAUUUUUAGCUAUAUUUUAACAAACAUUAUAACGUUAAUUUAACUUAUUUCUGUUAUAUUUUAUAGGAAAAUUUAAAAUAAAAAGUAUAAAUACUACAAUUAACCUAUUUUAAGAAUAAAUAUAAUAUCCUUAAGCAAAAAAAAAACAAAAUUAUUAACAUUCUUAUCCCUAAAACUGCUUCUAAAAAAUUUGAAGCGACAACACCGGAGCUUAAGCGCCUAAACCAUACGCGUUGUGUCAUCUGUCAAACGGCUUUUUGUUUAUAUUCGGGAUUCGUGUAUUUUCUUUAAUUUUUGGUUUAAAAAGGAAAAAAGGCCACGUUUUAGUGUUUUUUUAAAUUGCUAGGAUGGCAAAAACUUGUGUCGUUUGUGCCGCAUCAUGAUAAAAACGUGAUUCAAGCCGAUCUUUUCACAAAUUGCCCAAUGAUUAUGCCCAAAGGGAACAAUGGGUUUCAUUAAUGGAAAUCAACACAUUUAAAAAGAACAUAUUUGUUUGUUCAGAUCACAUCCUUAGAAGUGAUAUAAGGGAGAUAAUAUUAUCAGUAGCCAGACUUUAUUAAAAAAAUCAGCUCUACCUCAAAGGUAAUUUUUUUAAAUAUAUUUUUCUAGUAUAUUUAUAGGUAUGAGUAUAUUUUACCUUAGAAUUAUUGAUAAAGGUUUGCAUGCUUUUAUUUACUACAUUAUGUAAGCUAAAAAAACAACCUUUUAAAACUUGUGCUUGGGCUAUGUUGUAAAACAUACAGCUUCUUCACAAAAAGUAUUAGUGUUACUCAUAUAAGAUUUAUUUAUACCUAAUACUUAUUAAAUUAGGUAUGUGUGUAAAACUAUUUUUUUACUAGGAUUUCUGAUGCACUGGUUAAAAACACAGCAGCCAAUAAUUCAGUUAAUUUACCAAGUGAAUUACCCUUCAAAGCUACAGGGGUAGCUUUCCUGAAGAGUGCAAAAACUUCUUUAGCUUUCAAAAUGGUAUAUAGUACAAACAGUGAAGCUAAUAUAGACACGUAUGGAUAAUUAAAAUAGAUUAAUAUUCUUGAUACACCAAAUUUUGUAUAAUUACAGAUCUGAUCAUUGAUCAUCAACAAUAACUGCAUCUGAGAAUUAUAGUUCUACAGUAACCGUGGAGUCUAGGUCAACAAUUACUAUUUCUCAUCCAAGCCGUUUUUGUUUAACUGCUACACAUUCCCUGACUCUGCCAAGGAAAAGGGUAAAAUCAAAAUGAUAUCCUGAGGACCUAAGCACUGAUGAUUCCACCGUUUCAAGAGCUUAAUCACUUGUCACCAGAUUAUGGAAAAAAAAUAAAGAACAAAAAAUUAAAAUUCGAAGAUUGCAACAAGCAAAUUUGCGCCAAAGAAAUUAAAUUAGAUGUCUCAAGUCAUUAUUAAAAUACUUACAUGAAAUAAUAACAUGAUUUUAUGGAAAAGCCCAACAUACUACAUAUUUUAUUUGACUUGUAAAAGCACUUGUUUGUAUAUUACUACUAAUAAACUCUCUAAUCUAAUCUAUUGUA